UCCAUUGCAUAAAGUAAAUGCAAAGUUAGUAUACUUGCCUGAGCUGCUGCUUACAAUAACGUAACUUAGUUUUAUCUUUUAUAUCGAAACCUAUCAUUAAUAAGAUCAUUCGUUCGAUUACAAUAAUAUAUCAUAUCACAUAGUAUUGCUAUUUACAGUCAACACAAACCUAAUCACAUUGUCACAUAUGUUUAGCAGUCAUUUGAU
rnacentral:lncRNA from 1 species